rnacentral:rRNA from 1 species
GUGUCAGCAGCCGCGGUAAGACAGAGGCCUCGAGCGUUAGGCGGAAUCACUGGGCUUAAAGCGCGUGUAGGCGGAUCGUUAAGUGCCUUGUGAAAUCCUGCGGCUCAACCGCAGAACCGCUGGGCAUACUGGCGGUCUUGGGCCACUCAGGGGUCACUGGAACAAGCGGUGGAGCGGUGAAAUGCGUAGAUAUCGCUUGGAACGCCAAAGGUGAAGACAGGUGACUGGGGGUGUGCCGACGCUGAGACGCGAAAGCCAGGGGAGCAAACGGGAUUAGAAACCCCUGUAGUCC